rnacentral:rRNA from 1 species
UAAGGAAUAUUGGACAAUGGAGGCAACUCUGAUCCAGCCAUGCCGCGUGAAGGAAUAAGGCCCUAUGGGUUGUAAACUUCUUUUAGACGGGACAAAACCCCUUUACGUGUAAAGGGUUGAUGGUACUGUCAGAAUAAGCAUCGGCUAACUUCGUGCCAGCAGCCGCGGUAAUACGAAGGAUGCAAGCGUUAUCCGGAAUUAUAGGGUUUAAAGGGUGCGUAGGCGGACUAAUAAGUCAGUGGUGAAAGCCUGCAGCUUAACUGCAGAAUUGCCAUUGAUACUGUUAGUCUUGAGUACAGUUGAGGUAGGCGGAAUGUGUCAUGUAGCGGUGAAAUGCUUAGAUAUGACACAGAACACCGAUUGCGAAGGCAGCUUGCUAAGCUGUAACUGACGCUGAGGCACGAAAGCGUGGGGAGCAAACA